UCUAAACUAUUCUUUG
rnacentral:tRNA from 1 species